rnacentral:rRNA from 1 species
AGAGUUUGAUCCUGGCUCAGGACGAACGCUGGCGGCGUGCUUAACACAUGCAAGUCGAACGGAAAGGCCCUUCGGGGUACUCGAGUGGCGAACGGGUGAGUAACACGUGGGUGAUCUGCCCUGCACUUUGGGAUAAGCCUGGGAAACUGGGUCUAAUACCGAAUAUGACCAUGCGCCUCCUGGUGUGUGGUGGAAAGCUUUUGCGGUGUGGGAUGGGCCCGCGGCCUAUCAGCUUGUUGGUGGGGUAAUGGCCUACCAAGGCGACGACGGGUAGCCGGCCUGAGAGGGUGACCGGCCACACUGGGACUGAGAUACGGCCCAGACUCCUACGGGAGGCAGCAGUGGGGAAUAUUGCACAAUGGGCGCAAGCCUGAUGCAGCGACGCCGCGUGAGGGAUGACGGCCUUCGGGUUGUAAACCUCUUUCAGCACAGACGAAGCGCAAGUGACGGUAUGUGCAGAAGAAGGACCGGCCGACUACGUGCCAGCAGCCGCGGUAAUACGUAGGGUCCGAGCGUUGUCCGGAAUUACUGGGCGUAAAGAGCUCGUAGGUGGUUUGUCGCGUUGUUCGUGAAAACUCACAGCUUAACUGUGGGCGUGCGGGCGAUACGGGCAGACCUGAGUACUGCAGGGGAGACUGGAAUUCCUGGUGUAGCGGUGGAAUGCGCAGAUAUCAGGAGGAACACCGGUGGCGAAGGCGGGUCUCUGGGCAGUAACUGACGCUGAGGAGCGAAAGCGUGGGGAGCGAACAGGAUUAGAUACCCUGGUAGUCCAA